GACGAACGCUGGCGGCGUGCCUAAUACAUGCAAGUAGAACGCAGUUGCGAACGGGUGAGUACAGCGUAGGUGACUGCCCCAUAGCGGGGGAUAAACAUUUGAAACGAUAGCUAAUACCCCAUACUGUGAGAUGGACCUGCGUUGUCUUCGCUAGUUGGUGAGGUGAAGGCUCACCAAGGCGCCUAUCCAUAGCCGACCUGAGAGGGUGAUCUGCCACAAUUGGACUUAGUCACCGCCCAUACUCCUACUGGGGGCAUCAGUAGGGAAACUUCGGCAAUUGACGGAAGUCUGACCGAGCAACGCCGCGGUAGUGAAUAAGGUUUUCGGAUCGUUAAGCUCUGUUGUUAGAGAAGCGGUAACUAACCAGAAAGGGACGGCUAACUACGUGCCAGCAGCCGCGGUAAUUC
rnacentral:rRNA from 1 species